AAAAGCAGUGGCUUCCUGGCUUAAAGUGAGAAGUGAAGCGAGGCGACCCCUUUCUUGAUUCUGCUAUGUGAAGCGACUCAGGUAGGAAAAAGCGACCCCUUCCCACUAAAAUGCAAGAAGCUACCAAGCGAAACGAAGCGAGCGCUUCUUUGUUUUAAACAGCUGUCAGCCUAUUUAAUUAAAAAAGAAGGGUUUUCAGUGUUCUUUUAUUAAACACAACCAGCAGAGCAUCUGAGAGUCUCUGCAUCUAGGGUUCUUCAGCAGAGAUUCCAGCAACAGGUAUGUGAUGAUUUUCUCUUCCUCUUCCUCUUCCUCUUCUUCUUUUUCUUCAUGAGAGUCUCUGCGAUUAGGGUUCUUCAUCAGAGAUUCCACCAACAGUUAUGUGAUGAUUUUCUCCUCUUCUUCUGAUUUCUUCUCUUCUUCUUCUUAC
rnacentral:lncRNA from 1 species